rnacentral:misc_RNA from 1 species
GGUGACUCCUCCACCUAUCCUCUCUCCCCCAUUCCACAUUGCAACAUUAGGGUUCCAGGCUUCCAGCACACGGCGCCGGUUCGAGCUCCAAGAUCCUUGUGUCGCUCCAGUGGCGUUCCAGCACACGGACCAUCUCCGGCGUCCAAUGGCCUCGACCAUCUCCUGAGCCCUCUGACGACUAGAAAUAACGGGUGUGCUCGUCUUCGCCUCCUCUUCAUCUCCAGCGUCUGGCGGCCUCGGCCAUCUCCGGCGUCUGGUUCGAGCUCCAAGCUCCUUGCGUCGCUCUGGUGCCGGUGGAUCGGCGCGGCGAGGGGAUCCGUCCGGGGGUUUGGAUCGGGUUCUUCUCCAUCUCCAUCUUCAUUUGGUCAUCAACUUCAAAAACCUCUAGGUCCAUAAGUAGCUCAUCUUCCACUAGCUUGCAUUCAGAGGACAUUGUGGAAAAAGGUUCUUGUACUUCUGCCAGGCAUAGAACGAAACAAAGUCACGCCAAAUGCAAGAAGCUAGAAAAAGGAGGUCCCCAUCGUCUUACAUUUGAUAAAAAUGGGAUUGCCCAGUCACCGGUAAAACAUGUCAAUGAAUUCUCAAGCUAUUGUGGUUAUAUAGCAUGCAUGCAUGUUGAUAUUAGGAUAAAGGAUUGGCGAAAAGUGCCUAAAGUGGUAAAAUCAAACCUAUGGGAGGAUGUGUCAAAGAAAUUUUUCAUGCCAAGGGAUGAAACCCAUACCCUCAAUGUGAAGAAGGUCGCUUUGAAAUCUAUGAGCCAUGCAUGGAAGGAUUUCAAGUGGAAACUAAAUAUAAAUUACGUCAAGAAGAACAAAACUCCAUUUGAGGACUAUCCAGAACUCAAGAAAGAGUGGUGGCCAAACUUUGUGGAGUGUGUUACCUCUGCUGAGUAUAUUGCUCUAGGAGAAAAGGGCAAGAAAAGCCAAAGCAUGAAUAAGUUCCGUCAAAAACUAGGUCGGCAAAGCUAUACUGUACAAAAGAGAAAAUGGGCAAAGGAAGAUGCACAAGCAUUAACUGAGGGUAAAUCUAUUCCAUUUCAAGACAUGCCAGAUGGUCGUCAUAAGGAUUGGGCAAGGGUGAGGAAUCCUUCUGGUGACGUGAACAUAACAGAGUCGCAUCCAAUCAUAAAGAAAAUUGUAGAUGUAAAUGAAAAGUCAGUAGCUAGUACCUUUACACCAUUUUAUAAUAUGGACAUACUUGCAACAGCAAUAGGGAGUAAUCAUCCAGGGAGGACAACAGGGGUGAGUGCUUAUGUGGGUUUAGGGAUGGGUCUUGCUCAAGGUGAUGGCACUAGUAAGAAGAAACGUAGAACAACAAAAGAAUAUGUCAAGAGGAUUGUGGAUGAGUAUGAGGUCAAGUUUGAGAAACUGACAGCCAUGUGUCAGAGUAUGGAGCGUCGAUUAAACAAUUCUAAGAGUUGCUCAUCAUCAAAAUUUGUUGAUACACCAGACCAUGCAACACAUCAUUCAGUUGACUCAUUACAAGUAACUUCAUCUACUUGUAGCACAUAUUUGUGGUGAUACAAUGAUGUUACUCUGGUGUCUGUUAUUAUUGUUUCCUUCGAUAUGUAGCAUUGUUUUGCAUAUCAUUUUUGUCACACCCGGUUCUGGGGGCAAAAUUGAAUGCAUAGCAUAUGUGGGCCAGGAUCCAUUUCCCACACAUAUGUUGACGUCACAAGUGUAAUAUAUCAAAAGACAAUGCAAUAAAGGCGUAAAG